CAAGAAAGCUAGGACAGAGAGCCU
rnacentral:siRNA from 1 species